rnacentral:rRNA from 1 species
UAGUCCACGCCGUAAACUAUGAUCACUUGGUGUUGGAGGUAUUGACCCCUUCAGUGCCGGAGCUAACGCGUUAAGUGAUCCGCCUGGGGAGUACGGUCGCAAGAUUAAAACUCAAAGAAAUUGACGGGGGCCCGCACAAGCGGUGGAGCAUGUGGUUUAAUUCGAUGCAACGCGAAGAACCUUACCUGGGUUUGACAUGUACCGGAAGAUUACCAGAGAUGGUGUCGCCUUCGGGCUGGUACACAGGUGCUGCAUGGUUGUCGUCAGCUCGUGUCGUGAGAUGUUGGGUUAAGUCCCGCGACGAGCGCAACCCCUAUUGUUAGUUGCCAGCACAUAAUGGUGGGGACUCUAGCAAGGCUGCCGGCGUAAGCCGCGAGGAAGGUGGGGAUGACGUCAAAUCAUCAUGGCCUUUAUGCCCAGGGCUACACACGUGCUACAAUGGUGCAUACAGAGGGUAGCGAAGCCGCGAGGUGGAGCCAAUCUCAGAAAGUGCAUCU